CCUAUGCUUAAUGGGACCAAUUUCAAGGAUUGGAAAAGGAACCUACUUAUAGUUCUGGGAUGUAUGGAUUUAGACCAUGCACUAAGGAAUGAACAACCUGCACCUCUCACUAAGGAAAGUUCCCAUGAUGAUAAAAGGGAAUUUGAGAGGUAGGAUCGUUCAAAUCGCAUGAGUCUAAUGAUUAUGAAACACAGCAUUCCAGAAGCCUUUUGGGGCACAGAAUCCGAAUGGGUUACUAUGGCUAAGAAUUUCCUUGAACAAAUUGAGGAACGUUUUGCUAAAAACGAUAAGGUUGAAAUGAUAAAACUUCUUGGUUCUUUAAUGAACAUGAAGUAUAAGGGUCAAGAAAAUGUAAGGGAGUACAUUAUGGAAAUGCAUCAUAUUGUCUCAAGAUUAAGGACACUUAAGAUUGACCUUUCGGAUGAUGUACUUGUACUCAUAGUUUUGUUAACGCUUCCUCCAUAGUUUAACCAAUUUAAAAUUAGUUACAACUGUCAAAAGGAGAAAUGGACUCUCAACGAGCUCAUUUCUCAUUGUGUGCAAGAGGAAGAAAGGUUGAAAAAGGACAAAACCGAAAGUGCUCAUUUGGCAACUACCCCUAAGGAUAAGGGCAAGAAAAGAAAAUUUGAGAAUGAAGCUGCUAAGGGUCCAGUUCAAAAGAAACAACAACAGGAUUCUAAGGGUUGUUUCUUUUGUAACCAACCUGGACAUGUGAAGAAAGAUUGUGCCAAAUAUCACGCAUGGCGUGUAAAGAAAGGGUUGCCUGAGCUACCGAAAGCCAAGUGAUGGUGAAAGAUACAUCUUUGUGGGCGAUGGACAAUCGGUAGAAGUGGAAGCAAUUGGGCAUUUUAGAUUGUUAUUAGGAACUGGUUUUUAUUUGGAUUUGAAAGACAAUUUUGUUGUGUCGUCUUUUAGACGGAAUUUAGUUUCUAUUUCUUUGUUGGACAAAUUUGGAUAUUGUUGUUCAUUUGGAAACAAUCAGUUUACUUUGUCUUUAAAUUCAAAUAUUAUUGGAACUGGUUAUUUGAA